rnacentral:rRNA from 1 species
AUUGAACGCUGGCGGCAUGCUUUACACAUGCAAGUCGAACGGUAACAGGCCGCAAGGUGCUGACGAGUGGCGGACGGGUGAGUAAUGCAUCGGAACGUGCCCAGUCGUGGGGGAUAACUACUCGAAAGAGUAGCUAAUACCGCAUACGAUCUAUGGCUGAAAGCGGGGGACCGUAAGGCCUCGCGCGAUUGGAGCGGCCGAUGUCAGAUUAGGUAGUUGGUGGGGUAAAGGCUCACCAAGCCAACGAUCUGUAGCUGGUCUGAGAGGACGACCAGCCACACUGGGACUGAGACACGGCCCAGACUCCUACGGGAGGCAGCAGUGGGGAAUUUUGGACAAUGGGCGCAAGCCUGAUCCAGCAAUGCCGCGUGCAGGAAGAAGGCCUUCGGGUUGUAAACUGCUUUUGUACGGAACGAAACGGCUCUGGUUAAUACCCGGGGCUAAUGACGGUACCGUAAGAAUAAGCACCGGCUAACUACGUG